rnacentral:rRNA from 1 species
UACGUAGGGGGCAAGCGUUAUCCGGAUUUACUGGGUGUAAGGGAGCGUAGACGGAAGGCCAAGUUAGGUGUGAAAGGCAUAGGCUCAACUUAUGGACUGCACUUGAAACUGGUCAUCUGGAGUGUCGGAGGGGCAGGCGGAAUUCCUGGUGUAGCGGUGAAAUGCGUAGAUAUCAGGAAGAACACCGGUGGCGAAGGCGGCCUGCUGGACGAUCACUGACGUUGAGGCUCGAAGGCGUGGGGAGCAAACA